UACGGGAGGCAGCAGUGGGGAAUAUUGGACAAUGGGGGCAACCCUGAUCCAGCCAUGCCGCGUGUGUGAAGAAGGCUUUCGGGUUGUAAAGCUCUUUUACCCGGGAUGAUAAUGACAGUACCGGGAGAAUAAGCUCCGGCUAACUCCGUGCCAGCAGCCGCGGUAAU
rnacentral:rRNA from 1 species